AAAAUAAAAGAAACAACCUCAGAAAAGAGUUUAGUAUUGCUAGGCUAUUAUAUUUGUGUGCUUUACCAUGUUGUUGUAGUACUAGUAGAAGUAAUACCUGCAGUGUACACUUUAGUAUUACUAUAAUGGAAAAAGUGAGUGAAAUAUUUGACACCAAACGUCACUCAGAAGGCAAAGUUAGAGCCCCAACAGACUCCUUUCGUUGGUUAGCUAGCUAGCCUUUUACAGCACAACAGCCACAAAUGUUACUUCAUUUGAGACUCUGGACUUUUAUGUUCUGUUGAGACGGCUCAUCGUUUUACUUCAGGAGGGUGCAACAUGAGCUUCCCUGGACUUGCCUGGAUGACCUUCCCUGUCAUGGCCACCAUUUUGUUGGUGAUGGAGGUUACGCCGUGUGCGCGUCCUGAGGCCGGAGAGCUUCGACCGUGAUGGCGUUGCAGAGCAAACCGGCCGGCGACGUAGAGGAUGUAAGCAGGGAUUUUGGUUGCUACACAUGACAUUUACCAACAGAUGGAGCACUACUGCCUGUUUAUGAGGUCUAGAAUGUAUGAAAAGCCACAAGAGGUGCUCAGAAAAUGCCUUCUGAUGAGGUGUAAUCUGGUCAAAAGCUCCAGAGCAAGCAGCAGAGCUGAUGAGAAGCAGCUGAAACCAGUCCUUCAAUCAGUCACCUCCACCAGAGUCUGAGCAGCUGACGAUCAUUCUUCUGAUUCCACACCGACAAUUAAAACACCGGCUCAUCCUGCAACGCCCUGCCAGAUCGUUAGACUCAACUUACCUUGCAGUCACCUUCUUGCAUUUUUGCCCUGUUGUCUUUGAGACACACCUAACCUUGUUUUUCCUGUCUUGCCAGAAUCCGCUGCUCAGACUCCUGCCUGCUGUGCUUCUCCGGUUUCCCUCCUGGACCCAGUCAUUCCCCGAACCCCUCUCUCAGUGUCACUCCCCCGUCUCCUGGCGUCCCUCCUCAGCCCUGCCUGCGAUAAAUCAGGAACCCACUUCGAACCAAUCCGGUUCUGAUUCCUCCAGUCUGCCCUGCCUGCGUCCUAGCUCUCCAGUCCCUCAUUCCCCGCUUCCCCUCCAGCCGCCAGGGAUCCUAAGACCACCCGACGCCGCACUCUGCGUCCCCUCCCGGAACCAGCCGCCACCGAUCCCCGACAGGAACGCCGUCCACCCGGUACCACUCCUCGUUCUCCCCUCAGACAAGAUUCCGGCUCUCCAAAUUCACUCCCCCUCCCUACAAUAAAUCAUUCUUAAAACUGCAUCUUGGCCUUGGUAGCGUGGUUCUCUGCUCGAGUCCGGUCCAGUUGUAUGACACGAUUUGAAGCUUUUCUUUCUCAUAUUUGAAAAUAAAUUAAUACUUAAGAGUUUUGGGUCAUUGGUCAAUAAGAUAAGCGAUCAAAAACGAUAAUGUAGGGUUUUUUAACCAUCUUUUUCACAGAACAAGUAACUUAUAUGCACUUCAGUCCACAAAUCGGUGCAUAAAAAUCAUCAGAAUGCAGGAAAUUAACUAUUUGAUACUCCAGUCCACCAUUUUAAGUGUUGUUUGAACUUUAAACAACUUUUUCCCACCCAAGUCAAUUGCCAGAAAAUUAAAUAACAGCAAUUUUAAUCAUCAAUGUUGUAGUUGUAGUCACUUUUCAAUUCAACAUGCCACGUGUUUCCUGGCUCCAGCUUCUCGAAUAGGACGAUUUGAAGCUUUUUUUGUUGUUGUUCGAUAUGGCAGUAAAGUGAAUAUUUUACGGGUUUGGUCAAUAAGACACGCAAUAAAACGUAGAUCACAAGUUUACGAAUUACGGGUUUUAUAAUUAGUUUUAUGACAUCUUACUGACCAGACAUGUGACUUCCAUGAACUUCAACGGCUCCGUGGCGCAAUGGAUAGCGCAUUGGACUUCUAGGUAGAGGCGAAGAGAUUCAAAGGUUGUGGGUUCGAGUCCCACCGGAGUCGCUUUUUUUUCAAGCCGUUACUUUGGGAUCAAUAAAGUUCUGUCUUACACUCUCUGAUCUUACUUUACUUUAGUUGGGUAAAUUAUUAGUCGAAGUUCUACCAAAAUGCUCAACUAUUACGAAUAAUCUCGCGAAUAUAUUUCUCCAAUGUCAAGUUUAUUAUGUAAACAAAAUAUAAAACAAAUACAAGUUGUGAGAUCUUUAGAAAUUUGUCACAUAGCAAAGAUUUUUUUUUAGCAUUAUACUUUAAAAUCAAAAUAUGUCAUAGUUAAUCGAAAUAAAUAAAACAGAUGUUGGUAAGACAACCUCAUAUUAACUCCAACUGCUGCUAAAGACUAUGAGAUGAUCAAAAGCUCUAGAAGAGCUACCAAAUGCACCAUAAAUUGAGUUUUUUCGACCUAUAUUUGUCCAUGUCAUACCUAUAUUUUAAUCUGAUCCAAAUGCUUUUAACCCACAUACAGUAUUUGGGGUUAAUUACACGAUAUAGUACAUUAAUUACAAAUAGGAAUGUGUAUAACCAGUAUAGCUGUGGUUUCCUGGGUGUCAGGGCUCAUAAAUUUGAGUUUCUGUGAU